rnacentral:lncRNA from 10 species
CCCCCGGCUUUGGUCACAGUGACCGCCACCGUUGCCCGGGGAUGGGUCCCUGAGACUUGGCGAAGUAGGAGCCCUGUGUGAUCGUGCGUCAGAGUCGGGGCUGAGACCAGUCCUGGCCAGGGCAGUUACCAGGACGGUCUCCGGAGGCCGGGAUGCGCGGAGGCUCCACCAGCAGGAAGAAACGCCAGGAGGAAGAAACCUGAGACAGAUCGCCGGGGACGCAGCGCGGGAUCCCAGCCUCAGGCUUGCGCGGACGGUGUGCGGGUCAGCCAAAGAGGAGCAAAGAGUCAUCUACCUCAAUCAUGUUCAGGAAAUGAUCAGGUCAAGAUGUGGAGUGAGCAAGCUUUUCUCUUUUGUGCCACAUUUUCUGACCCAGUAUUUCAAGCUACCCAAGGUGCGAAAAGGAAAGAAGGCCAAAGGGAAGAAGGUGGUGCCGACCCUUGCUGUCUUGAAAAAGCAGGAGACCGUGAAAGUGGUGAAUCUUCCGUUUGAGAAAUUUGGCACUGGACAGGACAUUUUGGCAUUGGACAGAACAUCCAGCCCAAAAGGCACCUCACUUGCUUUGUCAAAUGGCCCCAUUAUACUAGGUUGCAACAGCAGAGAGCCAUCCUCUAUAAGCAGCUAGAAGUGCCUUCUGUGAUUAAUCAGUUCACCAGGGCCUUGGACCACCAAACAGCUGCUCAGUGGGGUAAGCUGGCUGGCAAGUACAGACCACAGACAAAGCAAGAGAAGCAGCAGAGACUGUUGGCCUGGGCUGAGAAGAAAGCAAAGGAGACAUCCCCACUAAGAGAUCACCUGUCCUUUUAACGGGGGUUAACUCUGUCACCACCUUAGUGAAGAAAAAGAAGGCUCAGCUGGUGGUGACUGCACAGGACAUAGAUCCCAUUGAGUUGGUUGUCUUCCUGCCUGCCCUGUAUUGUAAACUGAGCGUUCCUUACUGCAUUGUCUAAUGGAAGGCAAGCUUGAGACAUCUAGGAUUAAAAAACAAACAAACGAAC